rnacentral:rRNA from 1 species
AUGGAGGCAGUACCACUGGAAGAAGUUCAGAACUGUGUGGUGAAGCUGAGGAGCAAUCCUCAACGGCGCAAGAAUCAAGUAUAUGUUGGCUGUGGGGCUGGAUUUGGGGGUGACCGGCCGAUGGCUGCUUUGAAGUUAUUGGAGAGAGUCGAAGAACUUAACUACAUAGUACUUGAGUGUUUGGCGGAGCGAACACUUGCAGACCGCUACCAAGUUAUGCUGUCAGGAGGGAAAGGAUUUGAUCCCCGAGUUAAGGAGUGGCUGUCCAUGCUUCUACCCUUGGCUUUGGAUAGAGAAGUUUGCAUAAUAACUAACAUGGGCGCAAUUGAUCCACCUGGAGCACAGAAAGAAAUACUGGACCUUGCUUCUAGUUUGGGACUGGAGAUAACAGUCGCUGUAGCUUAUGAAUCAUCGAUUUCAGGUCCAGAAAACUCAGUGUUAUGGAAUGAAUCAAUGGGAGUGGCAGAGGGAAGAAGCACAUAUCUUGGUGCAGCCCCCAUUGUACAUUGCCUGGAAAAUUACAAACCACAUGUCGUCAUUACUUCUCGGGUUGCUGAUGCUGCACUAUUCUUAGCACCUAUGGUCUACGAAUUGGGUUGGAAUUGGAAUGACUUUGAGAAGUUGGCACAAGGAACAUUAGCUAGCCAUCUUCUGGAAUGUGGUUGUCAACUCACCGGAGGAUAUUUCAUGCACCCUGGAGAUGCAUAUCGAGAUUUUUCUUUUGAGCAGCUUCGGGAUUUGUCUCUUCCAUAUGCUGAAGUGAGUUACAAAGGAGAAGUUUGUGUUGGCAAGGCAAAGGGUAGCGGAGGUCUUCUGAGCUAUAGCACUUGUGCAGAACAGCUUCUGUAUGAAGUUGGAGACCCUGCAAACUACAUCACUCCUGAUCUGGUUGUAGAUUUCAGUGAUGUGCAGUUCCAUCAAAUAUCACAAGACAAGGUUCACUGUAAAGGAGCAAAACCAUCUGAUCUUCGUCGGCCCGAGAAACUCCUCCAAUUGUUUCCUACUCCAAAUGGAUGGAAAGGCUGGGGAGAGAUAUCAUACGGGGGACAAGAGUGUUUAAGGCGCGCUCAGGCAGCAGAAUACCUAGUUAGGUCAUGGAUGAACGAAAGAUAUCCCGGCAUCGAAGAGAAAAUUAUCGCAUAUGUUAUGGGAUAUGAUAGCUUGAAAGCUAAUGGAGGUAACAAUGACAAUCACUCUUCCAAGGAAGUGAUAGAUGUUAGACUUCGGAUGGAUGGGCUAUUUGAGCAGGAGGAGCAUGCUGAUGGAUUCGUUGAGGAGUUCAUUGCACUUUAUACAAAUGGUCCAGCUGGGGGUGGUGGCAUCAGCACUGGACGAAAGAACGAGCUAAUUCUGCACAAGUUGCUGAUUGAUAGGGAAAAUGUCUUCUGGCAAGCCAAUGCGAAGAACUCAUCCAUUCAUGGUCCACAGAACCGGUCUACAGAUGCCAAGAAGAAGAAGAGGUACACAGGAAGUUCCGCGACGGGCAUUCAACAACGUUGGAAUACAAAGCUGGACGAACCAGCACCUCCUGUAUCUGCUCCAGCUCCAUCCGGAUCGGAGAUCGCCCUGUACCGUGUGGCCCACAGCAGAGCCGGUGACAAGGGGAACGAUCUGAAUCUUUCCAUCAUCCCUCAUUUCCUGGACGACAUUGGCCGGCUCAGGACAGUGAUCACUCCUGAGUGGGUGAAGGCCUCUCUUUCGCCCCUGCUUGAUCAUUCGUCGUUUCCAGACGACGGAGCGAUCGAGCGUCGAAACAAUCUACUUGAGCGUGUCUUGGUUGAGAUUUAUGAUGUCCCGGGCAUCAGCUCAUUGAACAUUGUGGUGAGGAAUAUCCUCGAUGGCGGCGUGAACUGCUCCAGAAGGGUGGACCGGCACGGCAAGACCCUGUCAGAUAUCAUCCUGUGCCGGAAAGUCAUCUUGCCUCCGUAG